AAAAUGGCGGACAUACCACAAAACGCACCUGACCAUUGCCCAGGAACUGGAAGUGACCAAGCAGGGAAAUCAACAGCUUGUCAGGGAUGCCCCAACCAGAAUGUUUGUGCUACCAAACCAAAGGGACCAGACCCAGGUCCUAUUUUGUCUAUUUUCUCUGUUUAAGAUGUGGGAGACAUAACAGAAAAAAUGUCAAAAAUUAAACACAAGCUGAUCAUCUUGUCUGGAAAAGGGGGCGUAGGGAAAAGCACAUUUACAGCUCAUCUGGCUCACGGUCUUUCUUCAGACAAUGAUAAGCAGAUUGGAGUAUUAGAUGUUGAUAUUUGUGGUCCAUCAUUGCCAAAGAUUUUUGGAGUUGAAGGAGAACAGGUACAUCAGAGUGGAUCUGGCUGGUCUCCUGUGUACGUCGAUGAUAACCUGUCUCUGAUGUCAGUGGGCUUCCUAUUGUCUAAAGCAGACGAAGCUGUCAUAUGGAGGGGUCCAAAAAAGAAUGGUAUGAUCAAACAGUUCCUGCGGGAUGUGGACUGGGGAGAAAUUGAUUACCUGCUGAUAGAUACCCCUCCAGGAACCUCAGACGAACACCUAUCUAUUGCUCAAUACCUCAAAGAGAGUGAUGUGGAUGGCGCCAUAGUGAUUACAACACCUCAGGAAGUGGCUCUUCUAGAUGUCCGUAAAGAGAUAACGUUCUGUAGGAAGGUGGAUCUACCCAUCAUUGGUGUAGUGGAAAACAUGAGCAGCUUUGUAUGUCCCAAGUGUAAGGUAUCUACUCAGAUCUUCCCAGCUUCUACAGGAGGAGGGCAAAAAAUGGCAGAGGACAUGAACGUGCCGUUUCUUGGUUCUCUCCCCUUAGAUCCCAGGAUAGGCAAAUGCUGUGAUGAAGGGAAGUCUUUCCUCACCGAGGUUCCCGACUCUCCAGCGACCCAAGCAUACAAACAAAUCAUGUCAAAAAUUGUAGAGUAUUGUACUAAACGAAAUGAAAAUAGAGAAAGUGACUCGGGAGAAAUGAAGACCAAUUAAUGAAGAACUGAUCUACAAUGACUGCUAUGUUUUUCUGUGCCAAUUAGAUCCAUUAGUGCUUGCACUGCUCUUUUUUUUUUAUGAUAAAAACACAACUGAAAAAAACAGAACAAAUCAUGUUGGGUUUUUUUUUUUAUAUCAUUUGCAAACUACAAUAAAUUAUAAAUUAUGAAAUAUAUAAAC
rnacentral:misc_RNA from 1 species